rnacentral:RNase_P_RNA from 1 species
UCUGGGUAAAUGCUGCACUCAAGUGUAGAGGAAAGUCCAUGCUCGCACUAUCUGCGAUGAUAGUAGUGUUUGUGCUUAGGGAAAAAAUAACCUAAGGCAGGAAACUGACGGCUCAUCUAAUACCUAAGGAUAACUAUGGUAAAAGAUGUAUAAAAGUGCCACAGAGACGAGUCUAUUUAGAAAUAAAUAGAAUGAAACGAGGUAAACCCCACAAGCGAGAAACCCAAAAUAUGGUAGGGGAACCAUCCAAGGAAAAAUGAAUCUGAGGAAGGAUGACAUAUGUCAUAGAUAAAUAUUUACCGCCUAGUAAUAGGUACAGAACAUGGCUUAUAA